GGAGGGUGCAAACGUUGUCCGGAAUUACUGGGCGUAAAGGGCGCGUAGGCGGACUUGUAAGUCAGGAGUGAAAACUCAGGGCUCAACCCUGAGCCUGCUUCUGAAACUGUAAGUCUUGAGGACCGGAGAGGAAAGUGGAAUUCCUAGUGUAGCGGUGGAGUGCGUAGAUAUUAGGAAGAACACCAGUGGCGAAGGCGACCUUCUGGACGGUACCUGACGCUGAGGCGCGAAAGCUAGGGGAGCAAACAGGAUUAGAUACCCUGGUAGUCCUAGCUGUAAACGAUGAGUGCUAGGUGGUGGUAGUUUCAACGCUUUCACUGCCCGAAGCUAACGCAUUAAGCACUCCGCCUGGGGAGUACGGCCGCAAGGUUG
rnacentral:rRNA from 1 species